rnacentral:lncRNA from 1 species
CGCAUUAAAUUUCAUCUCACAAGCAACAUGCAUUUGAUAAGAUGUUAUUGACAAUUCAUAUUAUAAUCGCCAAUAGUUUGUCGAGAUUUUACAAGCAAUUAGAUCGGUAUUUGAUUCUGACAAAAAAAAAAAACGUUGCAGAUUGAACUCGCGGCAUAUUUGUUUUCCUAAUCCCAUGUUUUCUGGUAGGAUGGAUUUUUUUGGUUCUAAAGACACUCGGUGUGCUGCUCACAACAAGUUGAAUUUAACGAUAGUUAUAACUGAAACGAAUUUAAUAAGCCGUGGGAUUGUGGAUAUAACAAAAUGGUAAAUAUUAUUGCUUGUCUUGACUCGGCAAUGACCACCAAUAUCAAGAAUUCUCGUUUUAGAAAUUUUUCUUGUAAGGAGAAAAAAAUCAUAAAAGAAAACAACUCAAGCGACUCUUUUUUAACGAUCAAUACUUUUGAAUGGUGACAUAUAACCCCCUUUAGAAAAGGUCCGCUUGUUCUUUUUUUUUUUUAUCCAAAUGCUGCUGAAAUGUACUACUUAAAAUACAAAUGUAAAUCACUUUCGAAAAUUGUAAUCAAUUCUGAAUAUUUUUGUGUUAUUUAUAUCAUAUGCAUGAAAUAUCUAUCAUUUUGGCAAGUAUUCUUCUGCAUCGAAUUUAAUUAACC